rnacentral:rRNA from 1 species
GCUAAACGCGAAGAACCUUACCUACCCUUGACAUGUCUGGAAUCCCGAAGAGAUUUGGGAGUGCUCGCAAGAGAACCGGAACACAGGUGCUGCAUGGCUGUCGUCAGCUCGUGUCGUGAGAUGUUGGGUUAAGUCCCGCAACGAGCGCAACCCUUGUCAUUAGUUGCUACGAAAGGGCACUCUAAUGAGACUGCCGGUGACAAACCGGAGGAAGGUGGGGAUGACGUCAAGUCCUCAUGGCCCUUAUGGGUAGGGCUUCACACGUCAUACAAUGGUCGGGACAGAGGGUCGCCAACCCGCGAGGGGGAGCCAAUCUCAGAAACCCGAUCGUAGUCCGGAUCGCAGUCUGCAACUCGACUGCGUGAAGUCGGAAUCGCUAGUAAUCGUGGAUCAGCAUGUCACGGUGAAUACGUUCCCGGGUCUUGUACACACCG